rnacentral:misc_RNA from 1 species
UACGAAGGGGGCUAGCGUUGCUCGGAAUCACUGGGCGUAAAGCGCACGUAGGCGGCUUCUUAAGUCAGGGGUGAAAUCCUGGAGCUCAACUCCAGAACUGCCUUUGAUACGGGGAGGCUUGAGUCCGGGAGAGGUGAGUGGAACUGCGAGUGUAGAGGUGAAAUUCGGAGAUAUUCGCAAGAACACCAGUGGCGAAGGCGGCUCACUGGCCCGAUACGGACGCUGAGGCACGAAAGCGUGGGGAGCAAACAGG